AAUCGAAUAGUCCAUUCUAAUUCCGAUUCCAGACCCUUAUUCCCAUGAACCAAACAGGGCCUUUUAAGUUCCGAAAGAAAAACACCAGAUGCCGGUCAAAAGAAGGCAUCAAGAUGGACACAGGUAUGUGAUAGAUGUGGCUGUCCUGGUCGCGCAAUAGUAUAUUUUGUGUGGUUAGACUUCAACCGUGGAAAUCGGGAGACAUAAAAUUAUAACUCUCAUAGGAUAUAAUAUCUAUCAACCUCUCCAUAUGCAUACAGCUUGGUAUUGAUAAGUCUUGUAUAAUAAGCAACCUGAUAUAGGGGAAAGCCAGAAGAGCAAUCAACAAUGAGGAAGUUCAUCAGUAGUGCUGCUAUGUGUGUUUGGUUUUUAGCCUUUCUCAUCUUAUCGAUGAAUUCCUGGUUUCUUACUCUUUCAGACGCAAGAGUUGUUCUAGCGUCUACAUAUGUUGGACGGCGAGAUCUCCCAUCUCCUCCUUCUCCCAUUGUAAAUCCACGAAGAUCACCCGGGCAUGGAUAACUACUGCUUUCCCAUGACCAAGAGACCCAUGGGCACGGCCAUGUUUUGCCUACUAUGCAUCAAGACUGGUCGUGUAUUACAUGGAUCUGAUUUUAUUGCUUAAAUAAACGAAAUUUGUACAAGUUAAUUAAAUAAUUUGUCAGAGAGAGAAUGUGUCUCUUUUGGGAAUGAAUUGAGGAAUACCCUAUACAAUUGUCUUAUCUCUAAGAUUCUGAAACCAAUUACUUUAUAGUUUAAUUAAAGGUGUAUAUAUAUUUUUUUC